UACGACUACAUAUCAGGCAUAUCAAUAAGCGGAGGAAAAGAAACUAACUAAGGAUUCCCUCAGUAACGGCGAGUGAAGCGGGAAGAGCUCAAAUUUGAAAUCUUCAAGGUUUUACCUUGACGAAUUGUAGUUUAAAGAAGUGUUUUCUGUUGAAGUUUCGGUAAAAGUUCUUUGGAAUAGGACAUCAUAGAGGGUGAGAAUCCCGUAUUUGACCGUUACUUUUCCAGCUGUGUGAUACACUUUCAAAGAGUCGGAUUGUUUGGGAAUGCAGUCCAAAAUGGGUGGUAAAUUUCAUCUAAAGCUAAAUAUUGGCGAGAGACCGAUAGCGAACAAGUACCGUGAGGGAAAGAUGAAAAGAACUUUGAAAAGAGAGUUAAACAGUACGUGAAAUUGUCAAAAGGGAAGCGUUUGACACCAGUGUUGUUUUCUCGAAAAUCAAUUAAAAGUGACCGGGAUUCUGUGUUGUAUUGACUUUAUCAGCUUUCUGCACUUUUUUCUUAUCUUUUUUAAUGCACUUUUCGUUUAACAAGUCAACAUCAAUUUCUUUUGCUGUAAAAGAGUCAUUGGAAGGUGGCUUUCUUUUCGGAGAAAGUGUUUAUAGCCUUUGACUUCUGCAAUCGGAGAGAUUGAGGUCUGCAGCGUAGAUCCUUCUGGAUUAGAUACAUUUGUGCUAAGUUAUAGUUUUUCAUAGACAACAUGUUGACUAUAUUAGUCAUGUAACUUACUCGCUUAUGCUAAUUUUACCUACGCUUAGGAUGUUGACGCGCGUGUGUGCGUG
rnacentral:rRNA from 1 species